rnacentral:rRNA from 1 species
GAUGAACGCUGGCGGCGUGCCUAAUACAUGCAAGUCGAGCGAACAGACGAGGAGCUUGCUCCUCUGACGUUAGCGGCGGACGGGUGAGUAACACGUGGAUAACCUACCUAUAAGACUGGGAUAACUUCGGGUAACCGGAGCUAAUACCGGAUAACAUGUUGAACCGCAUGGUUCAACAGUGAAAGACGGUCUUGCUGUCACUUAUAGAUGGAUCCGCGCCGCAUUAGCUAGUUGGUAAGGUAACGGCUUACCAAGGCAACGAUGCGUAGCCGACCUGAGGGGGUGAUCGGCCACACUGGAACUGAGACACGGUCCAGACUCCUACGGGAGGCAGCAGUAGGGAAUCUUCCGCAAUGGGCGAAAGCCUGACGGAGCAACGCCGCGUGAGUGAAGAAGGUCUUCGGAUCGUAAAACUCUGUUAUUAGGGAAGAACAAAUGUGUAAGUAACUAUGCACGUCUUGACGGUACCUAAUCAGAAAGCCACGGCUAACUACGUG